ACACUACUGAGAAGCGAUCCAACCUAAUGCUCAAGUGACGAAGCUCGUGACGAGAAUGAUAAAGGGAUGAAAUGUAGAAAAUGCGCUUAUGUUGAGGUUGAACCUUACCGUCGACGCCGAAAGUAACUCCUCCUCGCGAGCGACCUUGAUCCACUUCAUGAAAAAGCCCCACGAAUUCGCGUCACUGAUGUUGGAGCUUUGUGUUUCCGUUUCCUCGUAUUGCGUUUGAGAUGAAGGAUGAAGACAUUCAGAUUCGUGUACUGCGUUGGAAGUGUGAUGCGAAUCGUGGUUGAAGCGAUGAGUCGAUUUCAUUCAUUGGAGGAUUCCUGAUGACGAACGUCAAAGAGUGUCGCUCCCUCCUCUCCAAAAAAUUCCAGCAGCUUCGGCUCUUAUGGGAGAAUACACAAGGCUUAUCCUACCACCGACAAGUUCACCACGGGUUGCCUCAGAUGAACUUCACACGCAUAAGUAGGAUAUUAAUCCACGAUUCUUUCCAUGAGGUUCAAGACUUGGUUUUACAUGAGUAUGGACUACUGUACCAAUUCAGUUUGCCAUGGUUGCGGCUUGAAUGGUUGGAUUCAUGGAGAUGGAUCAAAAAGUGGACUUAGAAGGUGAUUGGGAUUUUCUUUGCUAUGGAACAAUGUUGAAAAUGGAAUCAUAAGAUAAAUGGAUUAGUUGGUGAAGCUAGCGGAAAUAUAGUUAAACAUAUCGCACGCUCGAACAUACAGCAGAGUCGCCAUCGAACUUUAUUUAUCCCCAAAGGGAAGGGAAAACCUAGGUAAAAUCCGGGGGGAAAGAGAUAUACCGGAUAAGGAAGUCGGUUAUGCAAGGGGUAGGUAUUAGUAUCCCUAACAUCUAUGGUACUCCAUGGGAACCAUUUUGAUUGUUCUCGCUCGAAUAGGUGUUAUAUCUAAAUAUUAAUCGCAAAAGAAUGGGGAAAAGGAAAAGAAAUAGAUAAAGUGUUCAGUGAGGAUUAGGUCCCUCAUGCCUACGUAUCCUCAUUGUGUAAUGAGAAAGUCAGAGCUUCGUAGUUCAAGGAACUAGAGGCGAGAGAUAGAAAGGAGUGUGAUCAAAGAAUGGUCUGAACCAAAGGGUAGUCUUUUGAACCCCAACAAGGGUGAAAAGAUGAACCCAAGAGUAAGGUGGCUAUUACCAAUACGUGGACUAGUAGGCCGCCACUAUAAGGUAAAAUCGAAAAGGAAGGAAUUUAGUGUUUGAGGUUGUAGCCCAAACAUCUCUUGGUUCAUAAGGUGACGCAAGAAGGAGCACAAAGAGGUAGUAUAUUUGGCUCAAAGAAUAAGGUAUAUCACAUGAAGUGAAUGAAGGUAGAAUAACGAGUGUAUCAUGAAUAUGAAUGGAAUGAAGUGACCAAAGUCACAAAGUUGAAUAUCUGGUGAUUAGAGCCUGAAGAAGUAUUGUUUGAAAUAUAAAGGUGAAAGUGUAUUGGAAUCCAUAAGAGAAAUGAAAUUCAUACCAUAGAGGGAACAACUCUAACCGCUACGUGGACCAGUAGGCCGCCCCUAUAGGGUGUUUAGCCAAAAAAUGAAGGAAAUAAGUGUUUGAGGUUGUAGCCCAAACAACUCUAGGUGGAAAGAUGGACUACAUUAGGUGUCCUAAAAAAAGUGUGUUUCGAUGGAUGUAUAUGGAAUUCCAAAGAAAGUGUGUUUCGAUGUCAAAGGAAUAAUAUGUCACUGAGUGAAUGAUUCAUGAAUAGUGGAAGAUUAUAGUGGGGCACUAAGGCGAAGGAGGAAUAAUUAGAAGUAUGCUCGCCAAGGAUCCGCAUCCUCGUGCCUACGUAUUCUCAUCGUGCAAUGAGAAAGUUAGAGCAAUUGUAGUUCGGAACCACGAGAAUAGAGAGAGAGAGAGACAUUUGUCUAAGCAACAGGGGAUCACAAGACAAACACCAACUCAAGGGAUGAUUGUAGUACUGGAUAGUACAAGGGAUAAUGUAUCACUUGCUGGGGAAAUCGAUAGUUUGAGAUCAAGUAAGAAUAGUAUCUUGGAUCCAAGAAGGGGAUAAACUCUUAAUCACAGAGCAAGGUAGGCAUUUACCAAUACAUGGACUAGCAGGCCACCACUAUAAGGUAAAGCCAAAAAGAAAGACUAAAUUAAGUGUUUGAGGCUGUAGCCCAAACAACUCUCACUUGAGGAGACAAAAUGUCGUUAAGACAUCCCAAAAGGAUAGACAAGAAGUCCAAGGAGAAAUAUGAUUGAUCUCAAAAGAUGGUAUAGAUUGAAUGAAUGAAGAAUGAUUGAUUGAUAAAUAGGGUAGCAAUAGAUAAGGUAGCUCGCGAAGAAUUUGAAUUCUCCUGCCUAUGUAUCCUUAUAGUGAAAUAAGGAAAUCAGAGUGUUCAUAGUUCAACCCACUAGGGAUGAAAGCAAGAAUGAUUGGAGGCAAAAGAAUGAUUGAAUAGAACAGAGAGAUGAAUUGAGAGACUUGACAGUCGAUUGAUAAAAAUCACAUGAGAGUCUAUGAAUAAGGGCGAACGCUUUGAAUAUUUGGGGCAUACGCCCCAUACGUAAAGUCUCUCUAGACGAGGAUAGGAGAGACUCCGUCUCGUCAUUCCCUAUUACUUAAGACUUGAUGUGCAUGAUACUUCUCUUGACUGACAAGUUAAUAGUGAAGAAUCUUCAUUGUUGAUCCUUGUGUUGAUGUUGAUCUUGUGUGUAGAAGACUUGGUAGUUUAAUCGAUUGAUAUUGCACUAAAGUCUAUGAAUAAGGGCGAUCACUUUGAAUAUUUGGGGCAUACGCCCCAUACGCAAAGUCGCUCUAGACGAGGACAUGAGAGAAUCCAUCUCAUCAUUCCUCACUACUUAAGGCUCGUUUCAUACAAUUUGAAUCGUGUUAACCAAGUGUUUACCUUUGAUUUAUCUUGUAUAAUCUGCUGCUUGAUGUGACUGAGGAUGCCUUGAUUUGCAGAUCUUGACUUGAGGCUUCGGGCUCCAUAACUUAGAAUAAAAGUCUUAUUAAGUGACUAAGGGUUUUUUGGUCACUCAAUCCAGACUGUGGGAUUAUACAAGUUCAAAGGAGUUAAUUGAUCAAAAUGGCUUUUGACCAAUUUAAUCAUAGGUUUGUAAUGAGUUGGAAACUAGAUUAGCCCCUAAUCUAAUGGUUAGAAUUGAAUUAGACUAUCCUAAAGGAGCAUGUCAUGGUUGAUUAAAGUUGAUAAAAAGCCUAUGUUAAAAAUCCUAAGGGAA